rnacentral:misc_RNA from 1 species
UUAAAUUUAGACGCGAGGUGGCGUUUGUCAAACCGCACCUUGUUACGAUAUGAGAAGUAUCUAAACACAACGAGAUGAUCGUUAGAAAAUAAAUGUAAAUUUAUAUUUAAAACGUAUAAUUUACAGGCGUAAAUGAAAAUAAAAUUAUAGAUAACAUUAUGGAUCGUAUAUUCUGGCUGUUCAUACUCAUCAUUAUAUGUCAUUCAUCAGAAACAUCAAUUCCAGGACCAUCAUCAUUGAAAGUGAUUAAUAGAUCUGAAACAGAAAUUCAUGUGCAGUGGUCACCAGUAUCUUCAAAAAAUAUCAUAAAUUAUCAUAUAAAAGCAGAUCCAAUAAAAAGUUAUUAUGAAAAUCAGCCACCUGUUAAAAAGGAAUGGUCAUUUAGUAAUAAAACUGAGAAAGCUGAUUUAUUACAAUUAGAACCAGGAACUCAAUAUAAUAUAACUAUAUGGGCUUCUACAAGUGAUGGAGAUACUACAUCCAUUUCAAAAUUUGUAUGGACAGUUGUGGGAGCACCAGAAAGACCUCCUGUUGUACAAGUUCUUAAAAGGACAGGAAAAACAAUUGGCGUAAAAUUACAUCCUGCUUUUAGAAAUGAUAAUUCUAUUAUGUUUUAUAAAGUGAUUGUAUUAAAGGAAGAACCAAUUGUGACAUUUAAUUCAGAACGAUUGUAUAAUUACUCUGAAGCAGUAAAAAAUGGCUUGUCUUUUUAUGUUGCUGCCCAGCUUACCCCAGAAGAAAUAGAAAAAGUAUUUUAUGUUGGUGAUGGUAAAGUAUAUGGUGGAUUUUACAAUGCACCAUUGUCAGAAGAUCAAUCAUAUGAUAUUAUGCAGGGAAAUAUAAUAUCUCUUAAUGGGGUAACAAAAGCUUCCUAUUCACCAACAAAAACAUCUCCGAAUAUUACCCCACUUGGAAUAACUCAUCGGACACAAAUUACAGGUCCAACCAGUUCAACAUUAACUGUAAUUUUAGCAACUGCUAUUGGAAUUUUUGGAUUUUUAUUAAUUUUGUCUUUUAUUAUAUAUUAUCUUCUACGUCGUCACUAUGGAAAACGUAGACCUUCUGAUGAAUUAGUAUUACAUGUACAAGGAUCAGAAUCAGAAGAGAAUGGGUCAGUCCCUGGAGUGUUGCAGAUUGAUGAAGAUACUGAUCUUGGGGAUUUUUUUGAAAAUUUAAAAGAAAGAUAUUGGCAUAUACCAAAAAAUCACAUAACUAUUCAUCAAACUGUUUUGGGUCAAGGAGAGUUUGGAGAAGUUAGAGAAGGAAUUGUUUUCCGUAAAGCGCAUGGAACAACAACACUUGUCCAACAAGUUUAUGCUCCUCCAUCCAUGGAUGAAAAAGAAAGGAAAAAUAUGUUGUCAGAAUUAGAUACAAUGAUUCGAAUUAGAAUUCAUCCUCAUGUAGUAGAGUUUAUUGGUGUUUAUGAAGAUAGAGAUCUGUUACAUAUUGUGAUAGAAAAUUCUUCAUCAACUUUAAGAGGUAUGCUAUUAAGAAGUCGACAGCUAACAGAUGGCUAUGUUUGCAAUUUAGCAGAAGCUCAUUUAAUAGAAAUUGCUUUUGGUAUAAUACAAGGAAUGAUUCAUUUAUCUGAGCAUGGGAUUUUACAUCACCAUUUAUCCUCAAGAAGCAUUGUUAUGAUAGAUGGAUAUACACCUAAAAUAGCUAAUUUUGGAUUAGGAUUUUUUAAUCCAUUAGGAAAAAAUUAGAUUUUACUAGAUGGACACCUCCAGAAUCUCUUAGAUCUGCAAAUUUUAAUGUUAAAAGUGAUGUAUGGUCUUUUGGUGUUUUACUCUGGGAGAUUUGUACACUAG